rnacentral:lncRNA from 1 species
AACUGAAUAAGGAAGACUUUUUUUUCUUGCUUUAUUAAAAUGUAGAUUUAUGUAGUCUAUAUAGUUAAUAGCACAAAGUUAAUUUGGAACUAAAACUCUGUUUAGGUGAACAUGAAGAGUAUGGCAACAAUUCAAGGAAAACAAGUUGAUGAACAUAAAGGUUCACAAAGAAGUUGAGGCAUCUUGAGGUGCCAAUAUGUGAUUGUGUGACAGCAGACAGGAAAAUGACUGCAAAUGAGAAUACGGAGGCGAAGAGGGUUGGAGUAAGAGUUCCAGAUGUUUCGACAGCUUACUAGAAAGAAAUGGACUGACGGAAUGCUUCUUAAUUUUCCAGUUUCAUCAAAGAGGUUUACAGUUAACUCAUCAUCAUCGGUGGCAUAUUAUUGGAUGAAGUACAUACCUGUGGCAGACCACCUGGAACACUGACAAACAAUGUUGAGGUGCACUUGGGAAGCAGUUCUGGAAUGUGUGAUACUGUUUCUUUAAAGGAUCCCAAAUAAUUAGGUGUGCAAGUAAUCAUUUAAGCUUUACAAGCUGGCAAUGCUUUUGCUCUGAGUACUUAAUUUUAUGGUGCACUGAAUAUUUAGGAUUAUAGUAUGAUCUGUGACUAGCGCAAAAGAACAUGGUUGUCCUUUGUGAUCAACAGGCAUUUCACUUCCACGUGGCCAGGCUUUCCCAUC